rnacentral:rRNA from 1 species
AUGAUGGUCAGGUUCAAGGAUCUGGUCGCCAAGGGCGGCUGCUCGCCUAAUAGAUGCAAGGCUGGAAGCCCCCCGAGCGACCGUAGCAAUGAUGGGGGCAUGAAUGACCAUGUUUGGAUCGCUGAUGAUAAUCGGAAUGAUGAGUUUGACGAAUCACCAAGUAUACUUGAUCCUCUCAUGUUUGAUGAUGUGAACAGCAUAACCCUUCAGAGGGUUGGCAAGAUAAAAUCAGGCACCCCCAAGUACAUGCUGUGUAUAGUUAGAAACAUGGAUGCCGGUGACCCAAAGCGGCCGUACAAGCUGGAGAGUUACAAAACAUGCAGGUCUCUUAACUCUCCAGCCCUUGAAGAGUUCAAGGAGUGGCUUCAAGAGGCUGAAAAGAAUGGUGUGUGCAUACCAACCCGGCAAGAAGUGCAGGAGAAGAAAGAAGCCAUUAUAAAGACCUGCAACCUUUUGUAUUCAGUGUCUACUGUAAAGCAUAUGCUAUCAUGCAUAGCUUUGAUCCAAAAUCAUAAUAAGUCCCGGAAAGAAGGUAAAAUGAAAUUAGACAUAAUUAUAUACAAUACUACUACUGCUCUAAUUUUCAGUUUUAUUGUUAUUAUUGUCCUAGGCAUUCCUGGUGUGGCCCAUGUGAGCGCGGCACCACCGCUGCAGCUCGCAAUGCGCCCCACAUCUUCCUCCGCUUCCGCUGGAAAAGAGGCUAGGGCUUACACUCUCCUCUCCUCUCCUCCGAAUCAAAGAAGCGGCGGCAUUCUCCGCUUCGGGCCGAGGUCGAGCGGCGGCGGAGAUACCCUCCUCUCCUACGGUCUUCGCCGCUGUUUCUAUCUCCCGGUCGUGCUCAAGGGGAAACCAAACCGGUAG